rnacentral:lncRNA from 1 species
GAAUUUCUCUACUUUAUACUAAUGAUUCCUACUAACUGUGUGAGAUGAUAGAUAGAUAGAUAGAUAGAUAGAUAGAUAGAUAGAUAGAUAGAUAGAUAGAUAGAUUUAGACAGAAACAGAGAGGACAAACAGAUAGAGAUGGUCAUUGUUUAUUUUAUAUCUUUCCCACUAAAAUGCAAAGCCAUUUAGGGGAAAGAAACUGUUCAUUUCAUUCCCACUGUAUCCUCAGCACCUAGAAAAGGACCUUGAAGGAAAUUGGACCUCAAUUAAUAUUUGUUAAAUUAGCGAUUUUGCCUACAAGUAUUUAAUAGUAAUCUUGAGGCAAUGUGGUUUGAAUACCCACAUACACAUUGGUCUAAUUAGGGUUUUAUUAUUUUAUAUUAUUUUUGAGACAAAGUCUCGCUGUGUUGCCCAGACUGGAGUGCAGUGAUGCAUUCAUAACUCACUGGAACCUCCGGGGAUCAAGUGAUCCUCCCACCUCAGCCUCCUGAGUAGCUGGGUUUACAGGUUCACACCACCAUAUCCAACUAAUUUUUGUAUUUUUUGUAGAUAAUGGGUUUCUCUAUGUUGCCCAGGCUGGUCUCAAACUCCUGAGCUCAAGCAAUCCACCCACUCUGCCUCCCAACAUGCUGGGAUACAGGCAUAAGCCACCUUGCCCAGCCAAGGAUAUCAGUGCCUACCUAUUACAUAUUUUUUUGUCUUUAUUUGCCCUGCAUGGUCUGAGCCAUCAUUCUAGUUUGUUAAAUUUAGGCAAGACUUUGCGAUUUUCAAAUGUGAGAUGCUGUCUUCAGCUCUGGAAGGUGAAGGUUACAGUGAGCCAAGGUUGCAGUGAGCUGAGAUCGCGUGCCAUUGCACUCCAGCCUGGGCAACAAGAGUGAAACUUCGUCUCAAAAAAAAAAAAAAAAAAAGGAAAAGAAAAAAAAGAAAAAGAUAAUAAAAGGUGAAUCUAGACAAAUACUACUUUUCAAUGUUUCAAAAAUAUUAUCUGUCAAUUUUCUCCAUUUGAGCUCCCCAAUUUGAAUUUAGUUUGUAUUCCCUUUAUAUUUUUUCUGUUACUAGUGCCUUUGUAUAUUUAUGGAGCGCAAAUUUUAGUAGUAAACUGUAGCUUCACAGAGGGCCAUGGAUAUAUACAGUGGUGCACUGGCUCCAGCCUGUGCCAGUUGACGAGAGUCAAUUGUGUGCUUCUCUUCCCAAUUCUGCAUCAAAUUUAUCAAUUAAAAGAUAACUGGUAAACUCCAGAGAAUCACGUUCAUAGCUUGAAAUCCGCACUGUGGCCCGGGCGUGGUAGCUCAUGCCUGUAAUCUCCAGCACUUUGGGAGGCUGAGGUGGGUGGAUCACCUGAGGUUCAGAGUUCGAGACCAGCCUGGCCAACAUGGUGAAACCCUAUCUCUACUAAAAAUACACAAUUAGCCAGGCACGGUGGUGGGCGCCUGCAAUCCCAGCUACUUGGGAGGCUGAGGCAGGAGAAUUGCUUGAACCCGGGAGGUGGAGAUUGCAGUGAGCCAAGGUCGCACCAUUGCACUCCAGUCUGGGUAACAAGAGUGAAACUCCAUCUCAAAAAAAAAAAAAAAAAAAAAGAAGAAGAAAAAAGAAAAAGAAAAGAAAUCUGCAUUGUGGAAAUAUUUACACCAUGGAAAUUAGCAUUCUCUAUAAAUUAGGGCUUUUUACCCAGAGACCCAGUUGUUGGGUAUUUACGAGGAUAACUCCUUUUUCCCAAAAUUUUUCCCAAAACCAGUCAAAACAUCAGAACAUAAAAUCAGUUAACAUCCAGAAUUAUCAGUCACAUGCCAUAUAUUAUGGUUAAGAAUUCCCACUCAAGAAGUUUACACAGAGUAGCUUUUGGAGCUUUAUGUAACUUUUGCAAUAUUUACUGGUAGAGCUCCUCAGAACCAAUCCUUGAAAGACAAAAAAUAUAACUGGAUUAUAGCACCUUUUAGUUAUAAUAUCCAAUGCACAUUACAUUUAGCUAUCCACCCAUUUCAAGUAAUUGUCAGAUAGUUUUGAUUCAUCCCCAGAAGGUUUUAUUUCCACAACAGACAAACAGAGAAUUCAGUAUUUUCUUGUUAUUAACAUUUCUGAGCUAAUAUCUAACUUUUCGCAUGAAUUAAUAUGCACUAUACUCUCACCUCCACAAUCAUUCCACAGCAAAUGUGUGUCUUCUGGAUGAUGUGGAA